ensembl:miRNA Mir295 microRNA 295
GGUGAGACUCAAAUGUGGGGCACACGUCUGGAUUGUACAUAGAAAGUGCUGCUACAUUUGAGUCUCCCC